AUGAUCCUUCAGGCAAGUUAAAGGGGAAAUGAGGAGUGGUUAUUAAACUCGCUUAAUGCGAGAAGAGUGUUUCGCUCAGCCUGUUACGACUAUUGAGCACUCUCCUUCUUUUAUCAUCUGAUCCCUC
rnacentral:snoRNA from 1 species